rnacentral:tRNA from 1 species
UCUAUGGUGGCGGAAUGGCAACGCGUUAGGGUAUAAAAGUCCUAAGUCAAAAAGGGUUUGAUUCCCUUACUAAGAG